rnacentral:rRNA from 1 species
GACGAACGCUGGCGGCGUGCUUAACACAUGCAAGUCGAACGGUAAGGCCUUCGGGUACACGAGUGGCGAACGGGUGAGUAACACGUGGGUGAUCUGCCCUGGACUCUGGGAUAAGCGUUGGAAACGACGUCUAAUACCGGAUAUGACUUCGGAACGCAUGUUCUGGAGUGGAAAGAAUUUCGGUCUGGGAUGGACUCGCGGCCUAUCAGCUUGUUGGUGGGGUGAUGGCCUACCAAGGCGACGACGGGUAGCCGGCCUGAGAGGGUGACCGGCCACACUGGGACUGAGACACGGCCCAGACUCCUACGGGAGGCAGCAGUGGGGAAUAUUGCACAAUGGGCGCAAGCCUGAUGCAGCAACGCCGCGUGAGGGAUGACGGCCUUCGGGUUGUAAACCUCUUUUGGCAGGGAAGAAGCGAAAGUGACGGUACCUGCAGAAAAAGCACCGGCUAACUACGUGCCAGCCGCCGCAGUAAUAC